rnacentral:rRNA from 1 species
AUUGAACGCUGGCGGCAGGCCUAACACAUGCAAGUCGAGCGGAUGAAGGGAGCUUGCUCCUGGAUUCAGCGGCGGACGGGUGAGUAAUGCCUAGGAAUCUGCCUGGUAGUGGGGGAUAACGUCCGGAAACGGGCGCUAAUACCGCAUACGUCCUGAGGGAGAAAGUGGGGGAUCUUCGGACCUCACGCUAUCAGAUGAGCCUAGGUCGGAUUAGCUAGUUGGUGGGGUAAAGGCCUACCAAGGCGACGAUCCGUAACUGGUCUGAGAGGAUGAUCAGUCACACUGGAACUGAGACACGGUCCAGACUCCUACGGUAGGCAGCAGUGGGGAAUAUUGGACAAUGGGCGAAAGCCUGAUCCAGCCAUGCCGCGUGUGUGAAGAAGGUCUUCGGAUUGUAAAGCACUUUAAGUUGGGAGGAAGGGCAGUAAGUUAAUACCUUGCUGUUUUGACGUUACCAACAGAAUAAGCACCGGCUAACUUCGUG